GGCGCGGUGAGUGGGUGUGGAAGAGGGAGGGGAGGCGGAAUGAUGGCUUAGAGGCGGAAGGGGACGGAGGGGAAGUGUUGGAAGGUUAAUGUCGUAAUGUUCUUCCGGUUAACUUCCACUUUCUCCUCCGGUGCUCUCCUUUCUCUGGGUGGUUCAUCAUUCUUUCUCUGGGGCUGUAUUGCCAAUGUGGUUCAGUGCACUCUGGAUGACUCUUAAGAAUGUAUUUCCUUUUGUCCUUAAACUAUAUAGUGAGGAUGACAAGCAAGUGGUAGGUGGAAGAAAUCAAUGGAGUAUGUUAGUGGAAGAAGCUGAGCAUGCCAAAAAUGUGGAGGAAAAGAUGAGGAAUGGGAUAAAAUUAGUUCAAACGAUGGGAAAUGGGGUAAAAUUAGUAAAAAAAUGGUAAAUAGGGUAGAAGGAGAUAGGUUAAAUGGGUAAAAUUGGUUAAGAAAUGGUGAGAAAUUGGGUAAAAUCAGUUUAAAAAUUGGGACACACAUGCUUGGCUCAGUCCUGCGGAAACAAAGCUUAAAACGUGCCUGUAAAAGUAUAAUUGGGUAGGAAUGUAAAAAAAUAAUGUAAGAAAGAUUAGGGGAAAAACAAUGAAGAAUAGGCCUGUGAAAUCAAAACAAUGAAGAAUAGGCCUGUGAAAUCAAAACAAUGAAGAAUAGGCCUGUGAAAUCAAAACAAUGAAGAAUAGGCCUGUGAAAUCAAAACAAUGAAGGCCUGUGAAAUCAAAACAAUGAAGGCCUGUGAAAUCAAAACAAUGAAGAAAAGGCCUGUGAAAUCAAAACAAUGAAGAAAAGGCCUGUGAAAUCAAAACAAUGAAGGCCUGUGAAAUCAAAACAAUGAAGAAAAGGCCUGUGAAAUCAAAACAGUGAAGAAAAGGCUGUGAAAUCAAAACAAUGAAGAAUAGGCCUGUGAAAUCAAAACAAUGAAGGCCUGUGAAAUCAAAACAAUGAAGGCCUGUGAAAUCAAAACAAUGAAGAAUAGGCCUGUGAAAUCAAAACAAACUUAGGGAAAAUUUGACAAAAACAAUUAGGUGUUAGAACAAGCCUGUAAAAAACAACACUAGGUCAAGACAAUAACAACAACAACAACAAUGAAUAAAUAAGCAAGCAAAGAACAUCCACAAAUAAUAAAAAUAAGACACGGGAAAAACAAACAAAAAAGGAAAACAGGAAAAAAAAAGAAAAAAGAAAAA